rnacentral:rRNA from 1 species
UAAGCGGAGGAAAAGAAAAUCAACAAGGAUUCCCUUAGUAACGGCGAGUGAAGUGGGAAGAGCUCAAAUUUUAAAUCCCCAAGGUUUCACCUUGGUGAGUUGUAAUUUGAAGAAAGUGUUUUGAUAUUCGGGUUUUACCUAAAUCCUUUGGGAUAGGGUAUCAUAGAGGGUGAGAAUCCCGUUCAUGGUUAAACCUCGGGUGUCACAUAAUUCACUUUCUAAGAGUCGAGUUGUUUGGGAUUGCAGCUCAAAAUGGGUGGUAAAUUUCACCUAAGGCUAAAUAUGUGCAAGAGACCGAUAGCGAACAAGUACCGUGAGGGAAAGAUGAAAAGAACUUUGAAAAGAGAGUUAAACAGUACGUGAAAUUGUUGAAAGGGAAACGAUUGAAGUCAGUCAUGCUAAUAGGGAAUCAACAUGAUGGUGUGUUAAUUCAUUAGUACGCUUUCUUGUGUACUUCCUUAUUUGGCAGGUUAGCAUCAAUUUUGGUCAUCAUAAAAAAUUUGAGGAAAUGUGGCUUCCUUCGGGAAGUGUUUAUAGAACCUUAAUAUAUGUGGUGACCGGGUAUUGAGGAUUGCAGCGAAUGCUUUUGGCUAGUCACCUUCCUUCUGACGGUCACCCCGGUCUUCUGAUAGCAUGCUAACUUUGGUGGGACACGGAAGUCUUAGAGGGCGGAGUGAUCUUAAAUUCGCUUAAGGAUGUCUGACGUAAUGGCUUUAAAACGACCCGAUCGUUGAAAGCACGGACCUAAAGGAUGCCUAAGCAUUGAUGAUGCGAGNGUUUA